rnacentral:rRNA from 1 species
UACGUAGGUCCCGAGCGUUGUCCGGAUUUAUUGGGCGUAAAGCGAGCGCAGGUGGUUUAUUAAGUCUGGUGUAAAAGGCAGUGGCUCAACCAUUGUAUGCAUUGGAAACUGGUAGACUUGAGUGCAGGAGAGGAGAGUGGAAUUCCAUGUGUAGCGGUGAAAUGCGUAGAUAUAUGGAGGAACACCGGUGGCGAAAGCGGCUCUCUGGCCUGUAACUGACACUGAGGCUCGAAAGCACGGGGAGCAAACAGG